CGGGGGAGGCCGGAUCCUGGGCUGUGUCCCGGCGCCCUGUGCCUGCGCUGGUGGAUUCGCGCUCCCGGGCCGUGCAGCCCCCU
rnacentral:pre_miRNA from 1 species